UGUGGAAGACUCUGAGCUACUAGGUCUGAGAGGGGUGGGAGAGGGAGCAGAAUCAGAGGAACCUGCUGUUUGCAAAGGAGGUUUCAGAACUACACUAAUGGAGCUGGAGGAGUUUAAUGUGAAAACGCUGUAUGACAAGUUAGAGGAUCAGAAUUUACAUCUGGCAACACAGCUGACAAAGCACCGCAAAGACACACAGGAGUUUUACAGGAACAUGUGUCAGCAAAUUGAUGCUCUGAGGGACACACUAGAAAAUAUGGAACCUUCAAAACUGAAGCAGCUGAAAAAAAUACUAGACAAUGAAGUUCUGAUGAAAAGAGAAACUGCUCAUGAGCCGUGGAUGGGGCUGAUGGAGGCCGUGCUGAGAUCUUUGGAGGGAGUGCUGUGCAGAAUGAAUGGGGAGGUCUGGCAGCAACAGGACAGCACAGCAACAUACAGCCACAGAGACACUCGAGAGAGUGAACUUCACACCCGAUACACUCAGUUUUCUCCUGCAGACAUGUCAGAGUUUAAAGUGGGUGCAGACACAGAGGCAGCUUCCUCAGAUCCAGGUCAACAGCAGAGCACCAUCCCCUGCGUGAGUGAAGAGGAAAUGGCCAAGUUUGUGUCUCUGACUCCUCUGUCCAAAACACUGCAGGAAAUAAAGGAAUCACUCCAGACACUCGCCCACACAUCCGACACAGAGGACGUAAUUAUCAGCCCAGCAGAGGGUGAACCAUCGCACCUGAUCCCUGUUGCCCUUGACAGCCUUUCCCCACAGCAUUUUGCUAUCUUCCUGUUUGGCUGCCAUGUUGUGCGUUUACUGAGCAGAGCUUGUUCCUUCCCCUCUGUCGUGCUGCUAUUGGCCAGGACGGUGCCAGUCUCUCACUGUGAUAACCUGCUGGCCUACUGCCAUAAAGACUUUUAUUACGACACAGCCAAUCAAAUUCUGUACAUCCUAGAGAGGAAGCUUCAAAAUGCUGGCCAGUUCAUCUCCAUUCUCUUACACUCAAUGGCCUAUAUCACCUCAGGCUCAAAAUCUCUUGAAUUCAUGAAAGCCUUCCACUUGGCCAUUUCAGCAUUAAGCAUGCAGUUGUUUCAUCACUGUUUCACUGAGGAUCAGAGGAAAGUAAAGAUGGAUGAGGAAAACAUACCGGAGGCCUUUGGAACAUUAAUAGAGGACUUCUUCAGUGUAAAAAUACCUACUGAAACGCAUUUCACUGAGCACCUGCUGGCAGAGAGACUUCAAGUAUAUAAAUACUUCAAGUUGGAACAGCUCCUUCAAGAACUAAAACCAACUCUAAAAGACAGACAUGGAGAUGGUGAGAGAUUUUGA
ensembl:lncRNA